rnacentral:rRNA from 1 species
UACGUAGGGGGCAAGCGUUGUCCGGAUUUCUUGGGCGUAAAGAGCGUGUAGGCGGCUUGGUAGGUCCGCUGUGAAAACUCGAGGCUCAACCUCGAGAUGUCGGCGGAAACCACUUGGCUAGAGUCCGGAAGAGGAGAGUGGAAUUCCUGGUGUAGCGGUGAAAUGCGCAGAUAUCAGGAAGAACACCUAUGGCGAAGGCAGCUCUCUGGGACGGUACUGACGCUGAGACGCGAAAGCGUGGGGAGCGAACAGG